rnacentral:rRNA from 1 species
AACGAACGUUGGCGGCGCGCCUAACACAUGCAAGUCGCACGAGAAAGGGAGCAAUCCCCGGUACAGUGGCGCACGGGUGAGUAACACGUGGGUAAUCUUCCCUCGAGCGGGGGAUAACCUUCCGAAAGGAGGGCUAAUACCGCAUAGGACCACGGAGACUUCGGUCUCUGAGGUGAAAGCUGGCCUCUACAUGUAAGCUAGCACUUGAGGAUGAGCCCGCGGGCCAUCAGCUAGUUGGUGGUGUAAAAGACUACCAAGGCUAAGAAGGGUAGCUGGUCUGAGAGGAUGAUCAGCCACACUGGAACUGAGACACGGUCCAGACUCGUACGGGAGGCAGCAGUGGGGAAUCUUGCGCAAUGGGCGAAAGCCUGACGCAGCGACGCCGCGUGGGUGAUGAAGGCCUUCGGGUUGUAAAGCUCUGUGGGGAGGGACGAAUAACGAUGACCUAAUACGUCAUCGGAUGACGGUACUUCCUUAGCAAGCACCGGCUAACUCUGUGCCAGCCGCCGCGGUAAGAC